AAAAAAAGAGUUCUUAAACCUGCAAGGAGAGCUGUGUGAUGUGCUGAGGCACUUCCAGCUUGUCCAGUGCAUAUAUUCCCCAACCUUGACCGCAAAAUGAAAAUGUCAGAUCCCUCCACAAGUCUAGCCAUAUCUUUCCACUCAACUUACCAUACCACCUAACAAGCAUACUGUGACACUGCUGAUAAGAUGUCAGAAUUUAAUGUAAUUUUAACUGUUACUGACAUUUUAACUGCCAUUUCUGUUGUAGACAUGCAGCAGUCUCCUGACUGAGAACUCUACUGGAUGUCAAUGGCACUAACCCUGUUGCUGAAAUCAGGACUGAUUUUAGGCAUCCAGAAGUCAUGUUGUAGACCCUGCAUUUUAAAUCAGUCAAUACCUGUGCAAGAAACUGCUAAUUGCUCCAGAACUUGGGAAGCCUUAAGCAGAAAUAAUAGGUUGGUUACUGAAAAGAAUAGCGAAAUAUUUUAUUUCUUUGUAAAAUUACUUCCUAAAAGUAUAUAGCAUGGUGCAGGAAAUUAAAGAUCUGGAAGUCAGUGUUCUGAGUCCUUUUAAUAUUGAAAUUGAAUAAUGAAAUUCAAGAUUCUUAACCUGAAUGUUUUGAAGAAGGCGUAUUUUCCUCUUUUACUGGAUAUUAUCUGUUCAGGAUAUUAUACUGAGACAUCUUUUGUGUAAAAAUGUUAUUAAUGAUCUGCUUUAACAGUUUUGUAGCUUAAAAAUUUACAUUUAUACACAGAUAUAUCAAAUAUCAUAGUAAAAUCUGUCUCCCAAGCAGUCCCAACACAGUGUCUCCAUUUGUAUGGCAGCAGCAAGGCUCAGUCAUAUCCAUUCCUGUUUUGCAGAUCCUUCAGAGGUCACCAGAUCACUUGGGCAGUUUAGAUAACCUGUCCAACUCAGUGAGUUUACAACACGUGGGACAGCAAAGAGAUGCUUUAAUGUGAAGAUUUUCACUCUAAGAGCAUGAGAAAUGACGAAAGGGGCGAAGAGACAGGAAAGGGGAAUGUUAAGGAAUGGUACGUGGCAUGGUGUGGUGUUAUUUGUGAUUAAAGAGACAUUCUGUGACUGGGAAAAGUAUUAUUUUGAACAGGUGAAGUGGCAAAACACGAAGUUAAAUUGACAAAAAAAGAGUCACAUUGAGUGCAAAGAGGGAGGAUGCAGUAGUUUUGACACACUCCUGCAGUACUCAUCUUUGCUAGGGAAAAGUUAUUUUUAAUAGACAUUCAAAUUUUCAUGUAAUAUAAGUUGCAUCUUUCUUCUAAACACACAAACUUGUCAAAUUGUGUAGUGAGCUGUACAAAGUUUCAUCCCUCGGAAGUUAAAAAUUGAGGUUUAAUUUGGUGCAAGUGGCAUCCUGACCUGGUUUGACUAUUGCUUUCUCUCGUUGUUAUACACCAUUUUGGGACUUCCACCCACACCAGUAAAGAUCCAAGCAAGUUCGACGGUAAAUAAACUGUAUUUUAGUUCCUGUUGUUGACCUGUUGCCAAUGCACUGCAAACACGUCGGAAUAUUUUUCUGAAGGGCCAUCUCCAUAGCGCUGCUUUGUCCCGAGUGCAGCCCGAGCCGUUCCCUGGCGAGCCGAGGCUGCUGAGCCCCGGUGUGUGCGCUCUGCUGGGAAACUCAUCCUGGCUUCCCGCCGGGAGCGUUUCCUGGCUCGGGCACGGCACAGCCUUUCCUGGCUCCUUCAGGCAGAGCAGGAGCUCCUUGCUGCCAUCUAUUGAUAGCACGGCCGAAAGUCAGCCCUUCGCGGGGCCGGGAGGCCUUCGGGGGGCCGGGAGGCGUCAGGGAGCCGCCCCACACCGCUUUUACGUCUCUGUUCGUAGAGCUAACAUGGGGGAACGGGGGGUUCUUCUCAAUGAUUGAAUUAGCAGAAGAUAGUUUUAAUUUGACGCAGGGAUCAUACUAUUCCUCAAAGUCUGUGGUCUUCCCCUUGGGACUCUCAUUGAACCAAGCCAGCUGCUGAAGACAACACUUGGCUAAGACAUAGCUGCUGAUGCUCAUGAUGCAUAGCCUGGUCUGUGUCUGCGUGAUCUUGCAGAGCCCCAGUGUCAGAAACCUUGGACACCAGAACAGACACAGCCUCUGAUCAUGUUGCUUUGAUGAAUGUUAUAUGGAUUAGCAAAACAGCAGUGUCAGAGGAGCUGUGCUUUGCUGGUCCAUACAGCCUUGGUCCAGUGAAUAUUUCCAGGGUCUUUUGUUGCUUCUCUUAAAAUGUAAGGAGAGAUUGAGGUGCUGAAUUGC